rnacentral:rRNA from 1 species
UACGAACCGUCCAAACGUUACUCGGAAUCACUGGGCUUAAAGGGUGCGUAGGCCGCGCGGAGGGUGGGAUGUGAAAUCCCCCAGCUCAACUGGGGAACUGCCUCUGAUACUGGGUGCCUCGAGUGAGGUAGGGGCGUGCGGAACUGAUGGUGGAGCGGUGAAAUGUGUUGAUAUCAUCAGGAACUCCGGUGGCGAAAGCGGCGCGCUGGACCUUAACUGACGCUGAUGCGCGAAAGCCAGGGGAGCAAACGGG